rnacentral:tRNA from 1 species
GCAACGAUAGCUCAAAUAAAAGCAUUGGUCUUGUAAGCCAAAGAUGAAUUCAGAUAUUCUCGUUGUU